AGCGAACGCUGGCGGCAGGCUUAACACAUGCAAGUCGAACGGGCAUAGCAAUAUGUCAGUGGCAGACGGGUGCGUAACGCGUGGGAACGUACCUUUUGGUUCGGAACAACACAGGGAAACUUGUGCUAAUACCGGAUAAGCCCUUACGGGGAAAGAUUUAUCGCCGAAAGAUCGGCCCGCGUCUGAUUAGCUAGUUGGUAGGGUAAUGGCCUACCAAGGCGACGAUCAGUAGCUGGUCUGAGAGGAUGAUCAGCCACAUUGGGACUGAGACACGGCCCAAACUCCUACGGGAGGCAGCAGUGGGGAAUAUUGGACAAUGGGCGAAAGCCUGAUCCAGCCAUGCCGCGUGAGUGAUGAAGGCCCUAGGGUUGUAAAGCUCCUUUGUGCGGGAAGAUAAUGACGGUACCGCAAGAAUAAGCCCCGGCUAACUUCGUG
rnacentral:rRNA from 1 species